rnacentral:piRNA from 1 species
UGAGCAUCCACUUCUGUAUUUGCCAGGC